UAGGGAAUAUUCCACAAUGAGCGAAAGCUUGAUGGAGCGGCACAGCGUGCACGAUGAAGGUCUUAUGGAUUGUAAAGUGCUGUUGCAAGGGAAGAAAAAGUAGUUGAGGAAAUGCUUCUACAUUGACGGUACCUUGUUAGAAAGCGAUGGCUAACUAUGUGCCAGCAGCCGCGGUAAUACAUAGGUCGCAAGCGUUAUCCGGAAUUAUUGGGCGUAAAGCGUUCGUAGGCUGUUUAUUAAGUCUGGAGUCAAAUCCCAGGGCUCAACCCUGGCUCGCUUUGGAUACUGGUAAACUAGAGUUGGAUAGAGGUAAGCGGAAUUCCAUGUGAAGCGGUGAAAUGCGUAGAUAUAUGGAAGAACACCAAAGGCGAAGGCAGCUUACUGGGUUUAUACUGACGCUGAGGAACGAAAGCGUGGGGAGCAAACAGGAUUAGAUACCCUGGUAGUCCACGCCGUAAACGAUGAUCAUUAGUCGGCAGAGAACUGUUGACGCAGCUAACGCAUUAAAUGAUCCGCCUGAGUAGUAUGCUCGCAAGAGU
rnacentral:rRNA from 1 species